CUCCUGGAUGAUGAAGAGAUGGUUUCGUAUAUCCUCACUGGUCUUGAUAUUGAUUAUAAUCCAAUUGUGUCAGCUAUGGUUGCUCGUGUUGAACCUAUUACAGGUAAUGAGAUUUAUGCUCAACUUCUAAGCUUCGAGA